rnacentral:pre_miRNA from 1 species
UUCUUAUUGGAUUAUGACUAUCACGUAUCCUAUUCUGAUUGGUUAAUGAAAACAACAAUGCAUUUCAUCUUUCAUGGAGUUUACAUCCAAUCAGAACAGGACACGUGACAGUCAUCAUCC